GUCGUGAGAACUACUAAAAAGGGUUUUGAAAAUAAUUUCCAUUUAUUAAAUUUGAUUUUGGGUGGAGAAGGAAACCCCCCACAAGGCUAAUAUCAGAGUUAUAUUGUAUUAUACAAAAUCUCAAUUUGCUCAAUUGAAAAGAAUGGUAACCUUGAGGAAACACAAUCAUGCCCAUAAAGCAUGACUAGCACAAACAUUAAUCCAUCAUUUAUAUCAUCAUCUGUAUCAAAUUAGGUAUGAAGCCACGAUGCAGUACCUAGGCCAAGCUCUUAUGUGAGGAAGGAUGUUGAGGCAUGAGCAUCAAUCACUCCUCUGAAACCUUGAAAAAUGUAUAGGAUAGAAUUAUGUUGUUAAUCCCAUCCAUUCUAGGAUCAGUUUCGAAUUCUGGGUCAAUAUAAAAGAAUACCUGCAAACAUGAUCAUGGAAGGCAUAUCAAUCUGCUCCCCAGGAAGAAGGCGCUGCUCCUCAAAGCAAAAGCAUUGUAUUUUAUUGAAGUACACUGCAGCCUUCAUAGGGGUCACAUUAUACGUAGAUACACCAGUUAUUGGAGUUGAACUUCGAUUCUCAGCAGUGUAAAAUGCAAGAGCACUUUCUCCUGGUUUUACCCUCACCUCUCUUUGUGUGGGAAUAAACUUCCAAGGCAUUCCAUCAGCCACAUCAGCAUUAAAUUGCACAACAAUAUCCCUUGUGGUGACAGUUCCUUCUUUAGCAUGCCGAGCAAUUUUCUCUUCAACGCUCUCCCGGCGCUGAAUGGUGCCUCCAUAGCCAGUAGCUUGGCAGAACCUUCGAUAAAGAGGAACAGCAGCAUAUGUACCCCCAACCAUUGCAAAAACCAAACCCGUUAGAUACAUCAAUAAUUUUCUCGAUUUCCGCUCUGUACUAGUAGAAGCUUGAUAAGUAGCGAAAUGCCUCUUACUGCAACUAUUACCAAGCCAACCACCGAUUGGUGGUAUGCUAACUUCAAACCUUGGCACUGGAAUCCGAUAAUGACCGCCAAAACUCGGCCAAUUAUGUGCAGCGCUGAUGUUCUUGUAACUGUUGGCUCCGUUGAAAUCGUAAGCCCUGGGCUGAAGAGGACCAUUUUUUAAUAUAGAUUUUAGAUGAGGAAUUCUUCUAGCUUUAGCGAGACUUGACCAUGACAUGUUUUGCAGAGAUCUAAGUAACAAUUUUUAACAAGUAAAAUAUUUGAGGAGUAGCAAACGAUGUGAUGUUUGGACGCUGGGAAAGUUAAAGAAAAUAGUACGGCGUGAAUAAGCAGAUAGUUCACCAACCCUUGUUUGGAUUGAGGAGGAAUGGAGAUGAAGGUAAAGAA
rnacentral:misc_RNA from 1 species